CAUGGUUUGGUUGGCAACUUGGUAUUUUAUCCUUUUCUUUUUCGUUACAUAUCCUCUUCAACCCAUUAUCAACCCAACCAGCCUUAUUUCGAUUCUCAAAUCGGAACUAUCACAUGCAACUUUCAGAAAAUAAUAGUAAUAAUAAUGAUCAGCCACUGUAUAGCAUAGACACCUAAUCAUCUCUACACUUUGAAGAAGGGUAAAGCUAUGUAGAAGAUCAAGUACAUCCUCUUGAGCUUGUGGGUCAAUUUGGAGCUGACUACUCGACUGAGUUAUGCUUACAUCUGAUCAGAUACCCUUUCCAAACAGUUUCAAAUGACCGUGUUGAAAGUAAUUCUUGAUCAAUUUAUCACAUGGUUGCAGAAAUCUUUAGACGUACUUGCAUCGAAAAAUGAAGUGAUGGUUUUUGACUAUCUCUUGCUGCCUUCAAUAUGAUUGAAUAGAGCACCGCUGAUCUUUGAUUGGAAUUCUGUUCACUCUAUUGGGUUUCCAUUCGAAGUACAUAAAUCUUCUUUAACAAGAAAUAAUUAUUACCAAGUACACCCUUAGUCUAUAUGGAUUAGUUUGCUGCUUGGUGGAAAAUUCAUUGCUACACAGUACACACCCCUCACAAUAUUGUAUUGUAUGGGUUACAUGCUUUGAAUGGUAAUUCGUCCUUGCAAAUAAAGGAAGGUUAAACAAUCACCUAUAAUAGUUACUACAAAGCGCAAUACUGUAGUUCGAAAAUUUUAAUUCAAAGAGGCGGACAUCAUAUGGAGAAAGAAAUAAACAAUGUAGAGGUUCAGCUGCCUUCCGAAGCAUGCUACAUUACCAUGUCUCUCAUAUCUAUAAGUACCUUCUGUUAGUUCUCUUUUCAACCAUCAGUCAUGCAUAGGAUUGGGUCAUGGCUUAUAGCCGUCAACUUAAAAAAGGAUGCAUAUAGACGUACUUUUUCAAUGAUAUAUAUGCAUCUUUUUUUAAGUUGACAGCUAUAAGACAUGACUCGAUCCUAUGCAUGACUGAUGGUAAAAAAGAGAACGAAUAGAAGGUACUUAUAGAUAUGAGAGACAUGAUAUGGAACAAGGAAAUGUCAUUGAUGUAGACAUAAUAUCUGGGUUUAUUUAAAAUAAAUAAGGCCAAAUAUUAUGUCUGCAUCAAUGGCGUUCCUUUGUUCCAUAUCAGAAGCAAAAAACAAUUACGGCCAAGAAAUGCCUUGUAAGAUUUCAUUUGAAAUCCUCUGCUUAAGUCGGAGACAAAAAAUAAAUAUCCAAUGACUCAGAUUGGGAUAUCACUCACUGCAAUCUUCGGGGAUUCAUCAAUGAGUCAUGAUGAACCUUUUGAUCCGAAGGCAUGGGUCAUUCCUAGGAGCCCUUUGGCAACUUGAACUUGGAAGAAGAGGUUUUGAAAGACCUUAUAUUGCCUUCAAAAGGACAAUUAAAAAGAAAGCUGAUGUUGGAGAAGCAUUAAUUGGCGUCUUUGUUAGUGAAGGAGGUGAAACAGCAACCUUAUCUUUUAUGGGCUGGCAAGGAAUAGUGGUUGACUUUGUCAACACACCUUACACCAGAAACAUGACAUGUCAUUGCAACCUGAGAAGCUUCUGAGCGUUAAUGAUUUAGAGUCGUCAAUAAAUUAUUCAUUUCAUGACGCAUCUUUGUUUGUGGAAGCACCUACACAUGGCUCUUCUACGUCACCCAAGGUUCCGAGAUGUUACCAUAGCCUGAUAUUAUGAUGAAAAAUGUUUGCAACUUUCAAGGGAAAUACAAGGAGUAUUUCACCUGUGGAACUUUACUAGUUGAAUACCAUUGGAAUUUGAAUUGAAUCUUUUUUUGAUCUGUCAUGCGCAGCUCUUAGAAUAUUUUGGGAGUUCGGUUUUGGAUUAUAUGAUAACUCUACACCUGCACGAAAAAUAUCCAAGAAUGUCCCUGGGAAUGUUCACAAAACCAAGGUCUGCUUCUGUAGAUAAAGAAUUUAAUACACUAUCUCCGGUUGGAGCUUAACUGCACAAGUAUAUUCUCUGUGGAUCUCAAGCUCUUUAUGAGCGUAUAGAUCUUGCUCUUGGUAAUAAUUAACUGCAGCAGUCGCAAUCUACUUUUGGAUGGGAGUCUGAGACGUCUUUUUGAAAGGUACUUGGAGAUGUAAUGGAAUCUCUAGCUGGGGUGAUUCUUGUUGAUUCCGGAUUUUAUAUGGAUUGUGUUUUUCAGAGCAUUAGGCCUCUUCUUGAGCCAUUGGUCAUGCGAGAGAUGCCGAGACUUCACCCUGUAAAAGAGUCGCACAGUCUCAUUCAAAAGAGUCAUUUAAGAAUUGAAUAACGGGAAAAUGAACAGUCUAUGACUCUGCAUCUGUCAAUAUUGAAAUGGAAGCGGAAGGAGCCCUGUUCAAGACUCGUGUGUGGCUCAAGAUAAGAAAAUGGUUGAGAGACUUGCAUCCAAGUCUGUUUUAAAGCUCAUCAAACAAAAAUAGCCUUUGACUUUUCAUUAGAUUGUUUAUAAGAUGUUUUAUUUGGUAGUUCCCCUAUAUAGCCGAUGACUUCUAUCUUACAAUAAGUAUUGUAAUAGAUUUUAGACCCGUGUCCAACACUGGACACGAGACUUACGACAUUAUUAAUAUUAGAUAUUAAUGCAUGUAA